GCUUGCGGCGUGCUUAACACAUGCAAGUCGAACGGAAAGGCCCUGCUUUUGUGGGGUGCUCGAGUGGCGAACGGGUGAGUAACACGUGAGUAACCUGCCCUUGACUUUGGGAUAACUUCAGGAAACUGGGGCUAAUACCGGAUAGGAGCUCCUGCUGCAUGGUGGGGGUUGGAAAGUUUCGGCGGUUGGGGAUGGACUCGCGGCUUAUCAGCUUGUUGGUGGGGUAGUGGCUUACCAAGGCUUUGACGGGUAGCCGGCCUGAGAGGGUGACCGGCCACAUUGGGACUGAGAUACGGCCCAGACUCCUACGGGAGGCAGCAGUGGGGAAUAUUGCACAAUGGGCGGAAGCCCGAUGCAGCAACGCCGCGUGCGGGAUGACGGCCUUCGGGUUGUAAACCGCUUUCGCCUGUGACGAAGCGUGAGUGACGGUAAUGGGUAAAGAAGCACCGGCUAACUACGUGCCAGCAGCCGCGGUGAUACGUAGGGUGCGAGCGUUGUCCGGAUUUAUUGGGCGUAAAGGGCUCGUAGGUGGUUGAUCGCGUCGGAAGUGUAAUCUUGGGGCUUAACCCUGAGCGUGCUUUCGAUACGGGUUGACUUGAGGAAGGUAGGGGAGAAUGGAAUUCCUGGUGGAGCGGUGGAAUGCGCAGAUAUCAGGAGGAACACCAGUGGCGAAGGCGGUUCUCUGGGCCUUUCCUGACGCUGAGGAGCGAAAGCGUGGGGAGCGAACAGGCUUAGAUACCCUGGUAGUCCACGCUGUAAACGGUGGGUACUAGGUGUGGGGUCCAUUCCACGGGUUCCGUGCCGUAGCUAACGCUUUAAGUACCCCGCCUGGGGAGUACGGCCGCAAGGCUAAAACUCAAAGGAAUUGACGGGGCCCCGCACAAGCGGCGGAGCAUGCGGAUUAAUUCGAUGCAACGCGUAGAACCUUACCUGGGUUUGACAUGGAUCGGGAGUGCUCAGAGAUGGGUGUGCCUCUUUUGGGGUCGGUUCACAGGUGGUGCAUGGCUGUCGUCAGCUCGUGUCGUGAGAUGUUGGGUUAAGUCCCGCAACGAGCGCAACCCUUGUUCACUGUUGCCAGCACGUUAUGGUGGGGACUCAGUGGAGACCGCCGGGGUCAACUCGGAGGAAGGUGGGGAUGACGUCAAGUCAUCAUGCCCCUUAUGUCCAGGGCUUCACGCAUGCUACAAUGGCUGGUACAGAGAGUGGCGAGCCUGUGAGGGUGAGCGAAUCUCGGAAAGCCGGUCUCAGUUCGGAUUGGGGUCUGCAACUCGACCUCAUGAAGUCGGAGUCGCUAGUAAUCGCAGAUCAGCAACGCUGCGGUGAAUACGUUCCCGGGGCUUGUACACACCGCCCGUCAAGUCAUGAAAGUUGGUAACACCCGAAGCCGGUGGCCUAACCGUUGUGGGGGAGCCGUCGAAGGUGGGACUGGUGAUUAG
rnacentral:rRNA from 1 species